CAAGACAUUGGAGAUACCAAAAUGAGAGAGACGGAGCCACUGCCCUCAAUGACCUCCUGAUGCACACAAGGCAGCAGCCUGGUGGGGGCUGGGGUCAAGGAAGGCUUCCUGAACAUGGCAAAGAUCCAGAGAAGCAUUCCAAGAGAAACAGCAGUUAAGAUCUUUCGGGGGAAAAAGGGAGAGUUAAGGAGGGAGCCAGGAUUUGGGGCCAGCAUCUCUGAAUAUCAG
rnacentral:lncRNA from 1 species